UGGAAGUAAAAAAGUCGUAACAAGGUCUCCGUAGGUGAACCUGCGGAGGGAUCAUUACACAAAUAUGAAGGCGGGCUGGAACCUCUCGGGGUUACAGCCUUGCUGAAUUAUUCACCCUUGUCUUUUGCGUACUUCUUGUUUCCUUGGUGGGUUCGCCCACCACUAGGACAAACAUAAACCUUUUGUAAUUGCAAUCAGCGUCAGUAACAAAUUAAUAAUUACAACUUUCAACAACGGAUCUCUUGGUUCUGGCAUCGAUGAAGAACGCAGCGAAAUGCGAUAAGUAGUGUGAAUUGCAGAAUUCAGUGAAUCAUCGAAUCUUUGAACGCACAUUGCGCCCUUUGGUAUUCCAAAGGGCAUGCCUGUUCGAGCGUCAUUUGUACCCUCAAGCUUUGCUUGGUGUUGGGCGUCUUGUCUCUAGCUUUGCUGGAGACUCGCCUUAAAGUAAUUGGCAGCCGGCCUACUGGUUUCGGAGCGCAGCACAAGUCGCACUCUCUAUCAGCAAAGGUCUAGCAUCCAUUAAGCCUUUUUUCAACUUUUGACCUCGGAUCAGGUAGGGAUACCCGCUGAACUUAAGCAUAUCAAUAGGCGGGAGGAA
rnacentral:rRNA from 1 species